rnacentral:snoRNA from 1 species
AGAGCGAGGAUGAACGUUUCAAAGUUGUCUGGGUAUAAUAAAAACCACUCAAAACCUAAGUGAUAAGUAUUUGAUUUUGGG